rnacentral:rRNA from 1 species
AUUGAACGCUGGCGGCAGGCUUAACACAUGCAAGUCGAGCGGGGAAGGGUAGCUUGCUACCUGACCUAGCGGCGGACGGGUGAGUAAUGCUUAGGAAUCUGCCUAUUAGUGGGGGACAACAUUCCGAAAGGAAUGCUAAUACCGCAUACGCCCUACGGGGGAAAGCAGGGGAUCUUCGGACCUUGCGCUAAUAGAUGAGCCUAAGUCAGAUUAGCUAGUUGGUGGGGUAAAGGCCUACCAAGGCGACGAUCUGUAGCGGGUCUGAGAGGAUGAUCCGCCACACUGGGACUGAGACACGGCCCAGACUCCUACGGGAGGCAGCAGUGGGGAGUAUUGGACAAUGGGCGAAAGCCUGAUCCAGCCAUGCCGCGUGUGUGAAGAAGGCCUUUUGGUUGUAAAGCACUUUAAGCGAGGAGGAGGCUACUUAGAUUAAUACUCUAGGAUAGUGGACGUUACUCGCAGAAUAAGCACCGGCUAACUCUGUGCCAGCAGCCGCCGCGGUA